rnacentral:rRNA from 1 species
GACGAACGCUGGCGGCGUGCCUAAUACAUGCAAGUAGAACGCUGAAGGAGGAGCUUGCUCUUCUGGAUGAGUUGCGAACGGGUGAGUAACGCGUAGGUAACCUGCCUGGUAGCGGGGGAUAACUAUUGGAAACGAUAGCUAAUACCGCAUAACAGUAGAUGUUGCAUGACAUUUGCUUAAAAGGUGCAAUUGCACCACUACCAGAUGGACCUGCGUUGUAUUAGCUAGUUGGUGGGGUAACGGCUCACCAAGGCGACGAUACAUAGCCGACCUGCGAGGGUGAUCAGCCACACUGGGACUGAGACAGGCCCCAGACUCCUACGGGAGGCAGCAGUAGGGAAUCUUCGGCAAUGGACGGAAGUCUGACCGAGCAACGCCGCGUGAGUGAAGAAGGUUUUCGGAUCGUAAAGCUCUGUUGUAAGAGAAGAACGAGUGUGAGAGUGGAAAGUUCACACUGUGACGGUAUCUUACCAGAAAGGGACGGCUAACUACGUG